ACAUGAAUCACCUGGGAUCUUGUUAAAAGACAGGUUCCUAUUCAGCAGGUCUGAGGCGGGUUCCAAGAGUCUGCAUUUCUAAUAAGCUCCCAGGUGAUGGUGAU
rnacentral:pre_miRNA from 1 species